AGUGAACGCUGGCGGUAGGCCUAACACAUGCAAGUCGAACGGCAGCACAGUAAGAGCUUGCUCUUACGGGUGGCGAGUGGCGGACGGGUGAGGAAUACAUCGGAAUCUACUUUUUCGUGGGGGAUAACGUAGGGAAACUUACGCUAAUACCGCAUACGACCUACGGGUGAAAGCAGGGGAUCUUCGGACCUUGCGCGAUUGAAUGAGCCGAUGUCGGAUUAGCUAGUUGGCGGGGUAAAGGCCCACCAAGGCGACGAUCCGUAGCUGGUCUGAGAGGAUGAUCCGCCACACUGGAACUGAGACACGGUCCAGGCUCCUACGGGAGGCAGCAGUGGGGAAUAUUGGACAAUGGGCGCAAGCCUGAUCCAGCCAUACCGCGUGGGUGAAGAAGGCCUUCGGGUUGUAAAGCCCUUUUGUUGGGAAAGAAAAGCAGCAGGUUAAUACCCCGCUGUUCUGACGGUACCCAAAGAAUAAGCACCGGCUAACUUCGUG
rnacentral:rRNA from 1 species